AGGCUCGCGCGACGAAUAAUUAGUAUAACAUUACAGUAGUUAGCCGAACACACAAACAUCGCGCACGUUUUUAUGGGAAAAAAAAAAAAAAAAAGCCUAAAAUUAGUGGCCCGUACCUCCUCGUCGGCGUCGUCGUCAUCGUCGUGGACGUUUGCCAGCGAUUCGCGUCGGCUACAGUGUUCCGACGAGUACGCGAGUGCCAACGCAACUGGAAGAGCGCACCAUAAUAAAAGUCCGCGCGCCGUAAAGUCGUCAUCUUAUUAGAGGUUUGAUUUAAUGAAGUCCGUUUGCGCCGCGGUGAACUGUUUAUAAUCGCAUGCCG